rnacentral:lncRNA from 1 species
UUUGGUAGAAAAAUUUGCAAAAUUUAUUUAGCCAUUUUUAAAACUGAUGAGCACUUACACUCUGUCUCAGUGUUACUAUGUAUUAUUUACUCUUGGAAACAGCGCUGCAAUGAAAAUUCUUGUAUACAGUUCUUUGUGCACAUGUGCAAGUAUUUCUCUAAGGCAGAUACUCAAAAAUGUAAUUUCUAGGUCAUAGGCUAUGCACAUUUUUAAUUUUUAUGUCCUUUUAAAAUUUUAAUAUGUCCUGCCAAAUUUCCCUACAAGGUGGCAGUACAAAUUUAUAGCCUCUCUGCAGGGCGUGAGAAUUCUCCACACUCUCACCAACUUACAUUUUCUUUUCCAAUCUGAUGGGUAAGAAAUGGCUUCUGGUUGUGUUCAUUUGCAGUUUUCUGAGGAGCAGUGAGUUCAGCUUCGUUUAUCAGACUCCUCUCUCAAUCAGGUCUUUCCUGGAGCCUCAGCAGCUCAGUGGAUUCUUAUCAAUGAUCUGCAUCAUGUAAAGGGAUGGACUUCGGAGUGGAAACAACAGAGUCUGGUCCUAAUCUCUUUCCUUGAGUGGUGGGCUGGACCUAGUGUCUUGUUCCUAACAAACAGAAUACACCAAAAGUGAUGGAAUAUCACUUCCAUGGUUAGCUUUAAAAAGACUGUGGAUUCCAUCUUGCUGACAUGUUCCUAUUGCUGUCUCCCUUCUUGUACACUUUGAUGAAGCAAGCAGCCAUGCUGGAGAGGCCCACAUGGAAAGGAACUGAGGGAACCCUCCAGCCAUCAGGAAAUGAGGAGCUAAAGCUGGCAGCCUACCAGGAACUGAAUCCCACCAACAACCAUGUAAGUAAACUUGGAAGCAGAUCUUCCCCAAUCCAGCCUUCUGAUGAGUAUAGCCCAGAUGAAGCCUUGUGUGCUGCCUGUGAGAUACCCUGAAGCACAGGACCCAGCUAAAUGAUGUCCAGUUUUCACACCUACAGAAAUUGUGAGAUAAUACAUGUUGUUACUUCAAGGCACUAAGUGUUGGUGUGAUUUGCUACACAGCAACAGCUUACUAAUAUAUGAUGUAAAUUUCUUAAGGAAACAGGUUCCAUUAACCAUCUUUCUUAAUCAGUAACAUAAAAUUCAGAAUCACUCCCUAAAACCAUGGCAAUGGUGUAUCUUUUACUGAAAUAAACCUAUUGAAUACUUCCCAAAGACAAGAUAUUGUGAGUUAUUUGGAAGAAAAGUGCUUCUGGGUAUUUUAAUAGCCCUAGCUUGAUGUGUCACCUCAUGUUUACAAAGGCAGAAGGCAAGGUAGUAUGAUUAUAGGAGCAACGCUUGAUGGUCAGACGGACUUGGCUUGGCUUUCAAGUUCAGCUCCUGGUGGCGUCACCUUGGGCUGUGUCACUUCUCCUCUCUGAGCCUCCAAUUCCUCAACCACCCAGAGAGGUUAAAAAAGGAAAAGCUCCCCAACCACACAUGGUUUUACUGUGGGAAUGCAGAGAUAUAUAACAUCCAAGCACCUAACCCUCAGCAGGUACAGAAAUACUACUCAUUUUUUCCAAGACUUUUUUGACCUUGACAUUUCUGCCCCUUCACAAACAGACAAAACACUGAAAAACAUGUCACUGAAAUGGAGAAGGAAAAUGCCAGCUCUGUCGAGCUUGU